rnacentral:pre_miRNA from 1 species
AGGCUUUUGGCUCGGGUUAUAUGGACGCUAGCAGGGUAUAAGACGAGCGAAAAGCUUUU